rnacentral:rRNA from 1 species
ACCAAGGCGGAGCUACCAUGCAGUCGUACGAGAAGGUUCCUUCGGGAACUGGAGAGUGGCGCACGGGUGAGUAACGCGUGGGGACCUACCUCUUAGUGGGGGAUAACGGUUGGAAACGACCGCUAAUACCGCAUACGCCCUUCGGGGGAAAGAUUUAUCGCUAAGAGAUGGACCCGCGUUGGAUUAGAUAGUUGGUGAGGUAACGGCUCACCAAGUCAGCGAUCCAUAGCUGGUUUGAGAGGAUGAUCAGCCACACUGGGACUGAGACACGGCCCAGACUCCUACGGGAGGCAGCAGUGGGGAAUAUUGGACAAUGGGCGCAAGCCUGAUCCAGCCAUGCCGCGUGAGUGAAGAAGGCCUUCGGGUUGUAAAGCUCUUUCAGAUGCGAAGAUGAUGACGGUAACAUCAGAAGAAGCCCCGGCUAAUUUCGUGCCAGCAGCCGCGGUAAUACGAAAGGGGCAAGCGUUGUUCGGAUUUACUGGGCGUAAAGGGCACGCAGGCGGUCCUGCCAGUUUU